rnacentral:lncRNA from 1 species
UUCACCACAAACAUAAUAAUCACAAUUUCCCCCAAUCCAGACCUUCCUUGGCCCCACCAUUAACUACCACUCAUUAAACAAUCCGAAGAUAAACUAUCAUUGUUUUAAAUUUUGAAAUAUUCCCUUUAGAAAAUGAAUUGAAGAGUCCAGAUUACAAUUUCUUGAAAAGGCCACUGUAAUCUGUGGACCGUCUCUCUACAAUUGUUAAAGUUCGAUGCACACAAGAGCAUAAUAAGAAAAAAUAUAAAAUAAUUUGUGUUCGUUUGAUCUUAUCCCUCUCACGUCGCGGCCUUAUAUUCAUUAUCAUUUUCCUCCUGUCUUUCUUUCUUACAUCUAUAUAUAUACGCAUAAAUCUGCUGAUUCCUGAUUUAAAUUAUCAAAGAUCGUAUCUUUUCGUUUCCAAGGUAAUUUCCUAAUCUGAGUUAAUUGUAUUUGCAUUUAUUUUGUUGAUUUUUUUUCGCAAUUACUAUUAUUAUUAUUAUUAUUUUUGGUUUAAUUUAU